GAGCCAUUUGGUGCAUUUCAUAGCCUGAUUCAUGUCACCAGCUGCCUCUGAUUUCAGUGAGAAAUGCAGAAUUUAUAGGGAACUGUAAAAUGGGGACAGGUUUUUAGUUUUCUAAAUUGAGGUUUAACUGGCAAACUUCUGAACGCUCAAGAAACCAUGAGCCGGGCUGUGGGGAACUGGUUUCUUUUCCGUUUAGAAGAAAUAAACACACAAACACAUUAUCUAACUCUCAAAGUGUUGCGAGAAAGAAAUCAUUGCUCUUUGCCGAGUAGGAAAAUGAAGAAUCAGCCUUGUGGGCAAGAGGAGGAGGAUCACAUUGGCCAGUAGGCAGCACCCUGUGCUGGCAGAGGGAGAAAUCUGAGCCUCAGCAGAGCCAGGAACAGUCUUUGUACAAACUCUCUGGUUUCAAGUUGCGAGUCUCCGGAGUCUCUGGGAAGGUGCCCCAGGGACGGGCUCCCUUUGCAGAGCCCUGAGGAUUGAUGAGAAUCCCCCAUGCCCAGCCACCCAGAGGGCAAGCAGGUCUGGUGUUUUCAGAUAGAGUCUGUUCAGAGCUCCUGAUUAUGCCCAGCCAAUGAGGGAGGACCCCACAAUGUCACCAAAUUGCUAUCCAGAGCUCCUGAUUAUGUCCAGCCAAUGAGGAAUGACCACACAAUGUCGCCAGAUCAGGACUCAGCUGGGUGCUGGGAGGAGGGUGUAUAAGGCUUUCCCCAUUACUGAAUAAAGGAGUCUGCUGUUUGCCUUUCACCUGA